rnacentral:rRNA from 1 species
UUGAACGCUGGCGGCAGGCUUAACACAUGCAAGUCGAGCGGGGUGAUGGUGCUUGCACUAUCACUUAGCGGCGGACGGGUGAGUAAUGCUUAGGAAUCUGCCUAUUAGUGGGGGACAACAUUUCGAAAGGAAUGCUAAUACCGCAUACGUCCUACGGGAGAAAGCAGGGGAUCUUCGGACCUUGCGCUAAUAGAUGAGCCUAAGUCGGAUUAGCUAGUUGGUGGGGUAAAGGCCUACCAAGGCGACGAUCUGUAGCGGGUCUGAGAGGAUGAUCCGCCACACUGGGACUGAGACACGGCCCAGACUCCUACGGGAGGCAGCAGUGGGGAAUAUUGGACAAUGGGCGGAAGCCUGAUCCAGCCAUGCCGCGUGUGUGAAGAAGGCCUUAUGGUUGUAAAGCACUUUAAGCGAGGAGGAGGCUACUUUAGUUAAUACCUAGAGAUAGUGGACGUUACUCGCAGAAUAAGCACCGGCUAACUCUGUGCCAGCAGCCGCGGUAAUACAGAGGGUGCAAGCGUUAAUCGGAUUUACUGGGCGUAAAGCGCGCGUAGGCGGCUAAUUAAGUCAAAUGUGAAAUCCCCGAGCUUAACUUGGGAAUUGCAUUCGAUACUGGUUAGCUAGAGUGUGGGAGAGGAUGGUAGAAUUCCAGGUGUAGCGGUGAAAUGCGUAGAGAUCUGGAGGAAUACCGAUGGCGAAGGCAGCCAUCUGGCCUAACACUGACGCUGAGGUGCGAAAGCAUGGGGAGCAAACAGGAUUAGAUACCCUGGUAGUCCAUGCCGUAAACGAUGUCUACUAGCCGUUGGGGCCUUUGAGGCUUUAGUGGCGCAGCUAACGCGAUAAGUAGACCGCCUGGGGAGUACGGUCGCAAGACUAAAACUCAAAUGAAUUGACGGGGGCCCGCACAAGCGGUGGAGCAUGUGGUUUAAUUCGAUGCAACGCGAAGAACCUUACCUGGCCUUGACAUAGUAAGAACUUUCCAGAGAUGGAUUGGUGCCUUCGGGAACUUACAUACAGGUGCUGCAUGGCUGUCGUCAGCUCGUGUCGUGAGAUGUUGGGUUAAGUCCCGCAACGAGCGCAACCCUUUUCCUUAUUUGCCAGCGAGUAAUGUCGGGAACUUUAAGGAUACUGCCAGUUGACAAACUGGAGGAAGGCGGGGACGACGUCAAGUCAUCAUGGCCCUUACGGCCAGGGCUACACACGUGCUACAAUGGUCGGUACAAAGGGUUGCUACCUAGCGAUAGGAUGCUAAUCUCAAAAAGCCGAUCGUAGUCCGGAUUGGAGUCUGCAACUCGACACCAUGAAGUCGGAAUCGCUAGUAAUCGCGGAUCAGAAUGCCGCGGUGAAUACGUUCCCGGGCCUUGUACACACCGCCCGUCACACCAUGGGAGUUUGUUGCACCAGAAGUAGCUAGCCUAACUGCAAAGAGGGCGGUUACCACGGUGUGGCCGAUGACUGGGGUG